rnacentral:ncRNA from 1 species
AGUUCUGAUGCACCCAGAUUUUUGAGGUGGAAAACGAGGAGACAUGAGGCAUGAAGUGCCCGACCAAAAAAGCGCUGUUAGAUGAGUCCAGCAGCGCUUUUUU